rnacentral:rRNA from 1 species
CCUACGGGAGGCAGCAGUGAGGAAUAUUGGUCAAUGGGCGCGAGCCUGAACCAGCCAAGUCGCGUGAGGGAAGACGGCCCUACGGGUUGUAAACCUCUUUUGCCGGGGAGCAACGGGCGCCACGUGUGGCGCCACUGAGAGUACCCGGAGAAAAAGCAUCGGCAAACUCCGUGCCAGCAGCCGCGGUAAUACGGAGGAUGCGAGCGUUAUCCGAAUUUAUUGGGUUGAAGGGGUGCGGAGGCGGGGCGUUAGGUCGGUGGUAAAAUGGAGGGGCUAAACCCCUUCCCGCCAUUGAAACUGGCGCUCUUGAGUGGAAGAGAAGGAUGCGGAAUGCGUGGUGUAGCGGUGAAAUGCAUAGAUAUCACGCAGAACCCCGAUUGCGAAGGCAGCAUGCCGGCUUCCUACUGACGCUGAAGCACGAAAGCGUGGGGAUCGAACAGGAUUAGAUACCCGAGUAGUC